UUACGACCACAUCACGUUCAAACACCGGUUCUUGUCCGAUCAUCGAAGUUAAGCAACAUCAAACCUGAGAAGUACUUAGAUGGGUGACCGCUUGGGAAUAACAGGUGAUGUAAG